rnacentral:rRNA from 1 species
UACGAAGGGGGCUAGCGUUGCUCGGAAUUACUGGGCGUAAAGGGAGCGUAGGCGGAUAGUUAAGUUGGGGGUGAAAGCCCGGGGCUCAACCUCGGAAUUGCCUUCAAUACUGGCUAUCUAGAGUAUGGGAGAGGUGUGUGGAACUCCGAGUGUAGAGGUGAAAUUCGUAGAUAUUCGGAAGAACACCAGUGGCGAAGGCGACGCACUGGCCCAUUACUGACGCUGAGUCUCGAAGGCGUGGGGAGCAAACAGG